rnacentral:lncRNA from 1 species
AUUGACUCUAUGUUAAAAGAUCACCCUAAAGGUGCAUCAAUCUUAUCUGAAUAUGAACGAACCGGGCAGUUAGUCUUGAUGAAAGAUCUUUUUGUGCGUAUCAUUGUUGGAAAUCUUGUAAAAAAUAGUAACUGCUAUCCAAAGGAAAACGCAAAGGGUUGUCAACCGAUCUUACAAUAUUACUUGACGAAAUAGCAGCUAACAACAACCUACAUAAAGAUACCAAAGAAGAGUACGCUCUAUUACUACUUCCACUUAUGCUAAAGGUUCCUAUGCGAAAUCGGCAACGUGUCUUGGUUGCUGAAGUUUACAAGCGAUUUAUCCAGCUUCAUUCUUAUGGAACUUCAAUGGACGAAAUUCUUUCUAAAAUCAAAAGUGACAGUAUUAAACAACCAAUAAUUAUUGCAUUGGGUGUAACUGGCAACAUAAGCUAAUCCUUUGUCGUUGUAGAAAACGAAGUUAUUGAAUCGCGUUGUAUGGUUUCUCCUGUUGAUAAGUGUUUCAAGCUACACUAAAUCGGUCAAAUUGAGUACGACCAAAGUGUAAGUCAUGUUUGGCAGUUUUUGCAAGUGCAUUUUUAUGGGAUCUUGGACAAUUUUCCUAUCUCAGAAUGUG